UACGUAGGGGGGCAAGCGUUGUCCGGAUUUAUUGGGCGUAAAGAGCGUGUAGGCGGCUUUGCAAGUCCGUUGUGAAAACUCGAGGCUCAACCUCGAGACGCCGGUGGAAACUGCAAAGCUAGAGUCCGGAAGAGGAGAGUGGAAUUCCGUGGUGUAGCGGUGAAAUGCGCAGAUAUCAGGAGGAACACCCGUGGCGAAAGCGGCUCUCUGGGACGGUACUGACGCUGAGACGCGAAAGCGUGGGGAGCAAACAGG
rnacentral:rRNA from 1 species